UACGGGGAGGGCAAGCGUUGUUCGGAAUUACUGGGCGUAAAGGGCUCGUAGGCGGCCAACUAAGUCAGACGUGAAAUCCCCAGGCUCAACCUGGGAACUGCGUCUGAUACUGGAUGGCUUGAAUCCGGGAGAGGGAUGCAGAAUUCCAGGUGUAGCGGUGAAAUGCGUAGAUAUCUGGAGGAAUACCGGUGGCGAAGGCGGCAUCCUGGACCGGCAUUGACGCUGAGGAGCGAAAGCCAGGGGAGCAAACGGG
rnacentral:rRNA from 1 species